GGUAUGAAUGGCUAAACGAGAAAUUAACUUUUUUUGUUAUAAAAAUUGAAUUUAAUUUUUUAGUGAAAAAGCUAAAAUUUUUCAGAAAGACGAGAAGACCCUAUAGAGUUUUAUGUUAAAAAAUAUGUUUUCUUAUUAGAUUUUUUUAGGCUAUGUAAUUUUAAACAUUUUGUUGGGGCGACAUUAAGAUAUAAAAAACUCUUUAUUUUUAAAAUUUUUAUAAAAAUAUAAUUUGAUCCUUUAAAAAAGAUCAAAAGAAAAAAUUACCUUAGGGAUAACAGCGUAAUCUUUUUUGAGAGUUCUAAUCGACAAAAAGGUUUGCGACCU
rnacentral:rRNA from 1 species